AUGGGGGGCGCCCUGGGGCCCGGCCCGCAGCGACCAGGCCUUCGCCGGAACGGGAGGAAGAUGACACACAGCCUCCAGCCCCGCAGCUCCGAAACCGCGGUCCAGGCCUGCGGCUGCCGGGGCCUGACGGGAAGGCGGAAGCAGCGACGCCUCCCGGGAAACCCGAGUCAGCGGAAAGGAACGCCGCGGAACGCGCGCGGUCCGCAGCCAGUGCGCACGCGCGCAGCGCAGCUCAGGGAGGCGGCGCAGGCGCAAUUCCCACCCCUGCCUGGGAAGCCGCCGGGGACGAAGAAACUGGUUCUUGUUGAUGAUGGAGCUUGUGGCAAAGACAUGAUUGCUCAUAGUCUUCAGCAAGGACCAACAGUUCCCAGAGGUGUUGUGUGCUCACGGUGUUUGAGAACUAUGUGGCAGAUAUCCAGGUGGAUAGAAAGCAGGUAGAAUUGCCUUUGUGGGAUACAGCUGGGCAGGAAGAUACGACCACCUGAGGCCCCUCUCCUACCUACACACUAAUUUUAUACUGAUGUGUUUCUCCAUUGACAACCCUGAUAGUUUGGAAAACAUCCCAGAUAAAUGGAUCCCGGAAGUCAAGCAUUUCUGUCCCAAUGUGCCCACCAUCCUUGUUGGGAACAAGAAGGAUCUUCGAAAUGAUAAGUACACAAGGUGGGAGAUAGCCAAGAUGAAGCAGGAGCCUGUAAAACCUGAAGGAGGCAGAGAUAUGGCAAACAGGAUUAGCGCUUUUGGGUACAUAGAGUGUUCAGCAAAGACCAAAGAUAGAGUGAGGGAGGUUCUUCUUCUUUCUUCUUCUUCUUUUUUUUUUGAGACAGAGUCUUGCUUUGAAAUGGCUAUGAGAGCUGCUCUGAAAGCUAGAUGUGGAAAGAAAAAAAUCUGGUUGUCCUCUCAGUGCCUUGCUGCAAGCACAGCGCUUAUGUGGUUAAUUUGGAAGUGCUGUUUAUUAAUUUCAGUGUAUGAUUACUGGCCUUUUUCAUUUAUCUAUAAUUUACCUAAGAUUACAAAUCAGAAGUCACCUUGCUACCAGUAUUUAGAAGCCAAUCAUGUUUAUUAAUGAUGUCCAACCAAUCUGGCCCACCAGGGUCUUUCUGACACUGCUCUAACACCCCUUUUCUGUGCUCUCACCUGACAUGCCAGGUGCUAAUUCAAGGAAUUUCUUAACAUCUUACUUCUUCCUAGAAAGAGAAACAGUUGGAACUUUUGUGAAUUAGGCUGUAACUACUUUGUAACUAACAUGUCCUGCCUAUCAUCUGUCAGCUGCAACAUAUUCUGAUGUGUCACCACUUCAGAGCUGUACUCCUUAACAGAUUUCAUUGACAUAGCUCUGGGGUGUGCAUCCAGUUUUUUGAAAAUGUGCUCAGAGAGAAAGGCCCAAGCCCAUGCAGCUGUGGCAAAGUUACAGUUCUGUGGUUUCAUAUUAGUUACCUUAUAGUUACUGUGUAAUUAGUGCCACUUAAUGUAUGUUACCAAAAAUAAAUAUAUCUCCCCAGGAAAAAAAAAUAGAAAGGAAUUCAGUCCUAAUUACAACUAACCUUUACCUAAACAUAAAGCAUAUAAAAAGAAAAACAUAGAAGUAGACAGGGUUUUCUCCACUUGUGGAGACAGACCCAUUUCCCCUUAGGAAAUGUACCUUUGCUUUAUACCCUUAAACUUCACUCACAAUAAACUCUUCACAGAUGCUUGCUGAGUGUCUGUCAUCUCUCUCUGUUGUGCAGUCCAAGACCUACAAUUCCUCCAAGCCAGAAGCCCAAAAAUUGAGGCAACACUUGAAAGUCCAGCUAUGCACUGAACCAUGACAAGGCCAGGGCAGAAACAACAGCCAGCUUUUUGGUUCUGCCUGUAAUUCAAUUCCCACAAUAAGUGAGUACCAAAUAAUAUACAGGCCUCUAGGUAAGCAAAGCAAGGCAGUUUCUCCCCCAAAGUUAUUAGAGCAUAAUUGAGAGACUGAGAAGUAGUCAAUUACAAUGUCAUCCACAAUAAUAAACUGGUAAGGUAUUUAUCUUACAGUUUAUUAGGGGACAAUAAUUACAAUAUAACUGUAACAAUCACAGGCAACAUUUAUUGAGCACUUAGGUGAUAUGCACUGCAUGUAUUCACAAUAGGAAGAAGUACCAACUAUUUUUACUGUUUUACAGUUUUCUAAGUUAACAAUUUGCUAUAAGGUCACACAGUUAUUAACUAGAAGGCUGUGAUAUGAACCUGGGUGAUCUGCAGUGAACACCACUGUCUGAUAAUCCCAAUGCUCUGCCACUUUUGUGACAGAGAAUGUUCUGGAAGCACAUAGACUAUGUACUUAAUCUAAUCUGGGUUUUGUCAUAAGAUAUUAAUCAGGGAAGUAAUCAUAUUUGCAUUUAGAAAUGAUGGCUUUGACAGUAUCAGGAGGGGGAAUUAAAGGCCUAAGAUCCUGAAGGAAGAAAUGCCAAUGAUGCAAUUAUCCGGGUAAAAGGUAAUGAAAAGUUGAAAUAAAGCAAUGGCAGUAGGGCUGGAAUAUAAAAGUUGUACUACUUUCUCACUAACGUUGACUAAAAAAUAAAAAAAAGUUGUACUACUAUCUGACAUCUUAGAUUCCUAUUAUAGAAACUUAACCUCCUCUGAAGAAGCCUUGCCUUUUUAUUUCUAACUUGGGUUUUGAAUUCCUUCCUCUGACCUAUUUGUCCUAUUCCAACUACUUCCAGUGGUAGAGGGAAGUGAACAAGAUAUGUAAGGUAGAGACAGCCAGGUAAGAAUGGAUAACAAUAAGCAUCUGUAUAGUGCUUUCAUAUACAUUAUCUGUCUUAAUGUUUACAACAAAGCUGUGAGGUUGGUGUUCUCUCUAUUUGGAAAUGAGAGACUGAGGCCUAGAAAAUUAAAGGGACAUGCCAAGAUGACAUAAUGAGUAAGAGGCAAAGUUGGGUUAAAUCCAAGCCUUUUCAGUCAUCUACGAAGAAAGUAGAAUUAGGCUAAUAACAGAGUCUUCAAUAGAACAAUGGCAGUCAGAAAGACAGUGGAUUCAUACCUUCAGAAUGCUGACAGAAAAUAACCAUCAACCUAAAAUUGAGUGCCCAGCAAAAUUAUGUUUCAAGAAUGAAGGGGCAGAAAUAAAAUAAUUUCCAGAUAUAGCCAGGCAUGGUGGGGCAUGCCUAUAGUUCCAGCUAUUC